rnacentral:rRNA from 1 species
GUGCCAGCCGCCGCGGUAAUACCGGCAGCUCAAGUGAUGUCCCAUAUUAUUGGGCCUAAAGCGUCCGUAGCUGGCCAACCAAGUCCAUCGGGAAAUCCACCCGCCCAACGGGUGGGCUUCCGGUGGAAACUGGCUGGCUUGGAACCGGAAGGCUCAGAGAGUACGUCCGGGGUAGGAGUGAAAUCCCGUAAUCCCGGACGGACUACCGAUGGCGAAAGCACUCUGAGAAGACGGCUUCGACAGUGAGGGACGAAAGCUCGGGUCUCAAACCGGAUUAGAAACCCUCGUAGUCC